AGAAUGAACGCUAGCGAUAUGCUUAACACAUGCAAGUUGAACGUUGUUUUCGAAUCAGAAUGAGAACAAAGUAGCGAACGGGUGCGUAACACGUGGGAAUCUGCCGAACAGUUUGGGCCAAAUCCCGAAUGAAUAAAAGCUAAAAAGCGCUGUUUGAUGAGCCCACGUAGUAUUAGGUAGUUGGUUAGGUAAAAGCUGACCAAGCCUACGAUGCUUAGCUGGUCUUUUCGGAUGAUCAGCCACACUGGGACUGAGACACGGCCCAGACUCCUACGGGAGGCAGCAGUGGGGAAUCUUGGACAAUGGGCGAAAGCCUGAUCCGGCAAUAUGGCGUGAGUGAAGAAGGCAACGCAGCUUGUAAAGCUCUUUCAUCGAGUGUGCGAUUGUGACAAGACUCGAAUAAGAACGCCCCGGCUAACUCCGCGCCAGCAGCCGC
rnacentral:rRNA from 1 species